UCGUGCUGCUGAUACGCUGUUAUGGGCCGGAGAAGAGCGCCGGGUGGUGGGUCACUGGGUCGGGUACUUAUCCGGCAUCAGACUCAACGAAGCCGCAGUCACCGUCAUACUGACUCCUGGCUGCAUACGAGUGAACUCAAUGAUGGUUAUGAUUGGGGACGUCUGAAUCUUCAGUCAGUGACGGAACAGAGCUCCCUCGAGGACUUUCUUGCAACUGCAGAACUUGCAGGGACGGAGUUCGUGGCUGAGAAGCUUAAUAUUAAGUUUGUGCCCCCUGAGGCUAGAACUGGACUGCUGUCUUUCGAGGAGAGCCAGAGAAUUAAGAGACUCCAUGAAGAAAACAGACAGUUCCUGUGUAUACCAAGGAGACCAAAUUGGGACAGAAAAACUAGCCCUGAAGAACUGAAACAAGCAGAGAAAGAUAACUUUCUAAAAUGGAGGCGCCAGCUUGUCCGGCUAGAAGAAGAACAGAAGUUGAUAUUGACUCCCUUUGAACGGAAUUUGGACUUCUGGCGCCAGCUCUGGAGGGUCAUUGAGAGAAGGUAAGAAACGUUUUCUUUGUUUGAUGAAGACAUUGCAGGGUUGUUGCUGGACCAAAUGUCGACAUAUCUCCAACCACUGGAUCCAACAGGAGGGAGACUAAAUUA
rnacentral:lncRNA from 1 species